rnacentral:rRNA from 1 species
UCGAGAGGCUUUGGCAAUGGGGGAAACCCUGACCAAGCGACGCCGCGUGGAGGAUGAAGGCCCUUGGGUUGUAAACUCCUUUCGUGGGGGAAGAAAGCAUUCGGGGCGAAUAGUCCCGAGUGUUGACGGUACCCCAAGAAGAAGCUCCGGCUAACUCCGUGCCAGCAGCCGCGGUAAUACGGGGGGAGCGAGCGUUGUUCGGAAUCACUGGGCGUAAAGGGCGUGUAGGGGGUCGGGUAAGUGGGAUGUGAAAGCCCCGGGCUCACCCCGGGAUCGUCAUCUCAAACUGCUCGGCUUGAGUACAGGAGAGGGUGGGGGAAUUCCAGGUGUAGCGGUGAAAUGCGUAGAUAUCUGGAGGAACACCGGUGGCGAAGGCGCCCACCUGGCCUGCUACUGACGCUGAGGCGCGAAAGCUAGGGGAGCAAACGGG